UCGGCUUUUGUACAGUAUGUCAAGCUGAAACUUGACAUACCUAUUUUUGCUGUUUCAUUUCAGGAGACAAGUUCCCUUGGUACACAAGAGCUCGGGUUGUGGAUUUUUCGCAUUCAGCCAGAAAGCAAAAUAGCCCUGGUGUGUAUCCAAAUAGCCAGGGUGACUGCCGAGGACUGAAAAUGGUGGUGAUUUCCCCAGAGAGACUAUCAGUAAAAUAAAAAACUCCUCCCUCCCUGCCUCUGCCAUGUCUUUAGGUACAAAGAAGAGAACUUAACUGCUUACCAGUUGCUGAAGACUAGUCCCUGUUCCCAAAUAUUAUAUAUAAAAAGUAACCAGACAAGAAAUGCAUCUCGAAAAUGGCAUGGCAAGUUUGUAAGAAGCAGAAUCUUUGCCUCUCAAAUGCUGGAAUUGCGAAGACUGGGUCCCCUUUCAACAAAGUAGAACAGCACCUUUAAGGUAGGCUGGAA
rnacentral:lncRNA from 1 species